UACGGAGGGAGCUAGCGUUGUUCGGAAUUACUGGGCGUAAAGCGCGCGUAGGCGGCUUUGUAAGUUUAGAGGUGAAAGCCCGGGGCUCAACCCCGGAAUUGGCCUUUAAGACUGCAUCGCUUGAAUCCGGGAGAGGUGAGUGGAAUUCCGAGUGUAGAGGUGAAAUUCGUAGAUAUUCGGAAGAACACCAGUGGCGAAAGGCGGCU
rnacentral:rRNA from 1 species